rnacentral:rRNA from 1 species
UGGGGAAUUUUGGACAAUGGGGGGAACCCUGAUCCAGCAACGCCGCGUGAAUGAAGAAGGCCUUAGGGUUGUAAAGUUCUUUUGUCGCAGAGCAAAGUACAUUGGCUAAUACCUAAUGUAGCUGAGAGUAUGCGAAGAAUAAGCACCGGCUAACUACGUGCCAGCAGCCGCGGUAAUACGUAGGGUGCGAGCGUUAAUCGGAAUAACUGGGCGUAAAGGGUGCGUAGGCGGAUAGAUAAGUUAGAAGUGAAAUACCUGAGCUUAACUUGGGAAUAGCUUUUAAAACUGUAGAUCUAGAGUUAGUCAGAGGGGGGUGGAAUUCCAAGUGUAGCAGUGAAAUGCGUAGAGAUUUGGAGGAACACCGAUGGCGAAGGCAGCCCCCUGGGAUUAAACUGACGCU